CAGUAGCCGCGGUAAAACGAAGGGUGCAAGCGUUAAUCGGAAUUACUGGGCGUAAAGCGUGCGUAGGCGGUGAGUUAAGUCUGCUGUGAAAUCCCCGGGCUCAACCCGGGAAUGGCAGUGGAUACUGGCUCGCUAGAGUGUGUCAGAGGAUGGUGGAAUUCCCGGUGUAGCGGUGAAAUGCGUAGAGAUCGGGGGGAACAUCAGUGGCGAAGGUGGCCGUCUGGGACAACACUGACGCUGAGGCACGAAAGCGUGGGGAGCAAACAGGAUUAGAUACCCCGGUAGUCCCUGUCUCUUAUAC
rnacentral:rRNA from 1 species